CUCUCGCGAGAUUUGGUGCGCUGAGGGGAAGGGCGGCGGCGCGGGAAGAUGGCGGGUGGGGUGAGGGCAGGGCUCGGUGAGGGGAUGGCUCGGUGUGUGCGGCUCCUUCAGCCGCCCUCGGGCUCCCUCGCCGCCCCACAGCGCGGGGAGCCUCGCAGGGAGGCCACGCGCAGGGUUCUGGCUGGAUAUGGCCGCCGUGGUGGUGCCAGGCGGCCGCUUGUGCCACCCAGCGCCCUCAGGAACAGCCCGGCGGUGAUGAGGGCUCGGUGCCCCCUCAGAGCCACGGGAAGGGUUUCAGGUUCAUUACUGUGAACUUGAAGGGAAGGCAACAAAAGCUCUCAGAACUCUAAAAACUCCAGCUGCACCCACUGAAAAUGGGAAUAACUCCAGAGAGCCCUCCUCUGCCGAGGCUGUUUGAUAUUAUCAAAGAGCUGGUGACCAAUGGGUUUCAAAAGCUCCAGGCAUGUGGAACAAAAUCCUGGAGUCAUCCUUGGAAUGGCCUCAUUCCUCCAAGGACACAGUGACACAAAAGGUGAGAACCCCCUGUGCUCUACUCUGCCUCAGAAAUUGCACCCCAAAAUAACCUCGCCAAAAAUAACCUCCAGCCUGCCUUCCUUGUGAGAUAUAACCCCAAAUCUCUGUUUUUACCUUCUUCCAUGGGGAUGAAGAACUGGUGUUUUCAGUCUGUUUGCUGUUCCUGAGGUGGCCAAAAUGCUGCUGCUGGUGUUGGGUUUGUUAUUUUUUUCAAACUUAGAGUGACCACACACUUCCAUUUUGAAACGGACCUGUGAAACGGUGAAAAUGGCACCACAGGGCUUUAUUUUCACUGAGGCUGUACCAGGACUGGCUGCAGCCACUGGAGAGGAUAUGUGCCUGUGUUUGGAGGAAAUCCUGGGAAUCUUUACAGCUGCAUCUCUUUCACUGUCCCACAACAAAGGAACAACAAGAGAGGCAAUCCUGCAGGAAGGACAGCUGGAACACGUGGCUGAGAUACAACCUCCCUCUGGAUGGAGCUGGUUUAGGGCCUUACAGCACCUUCAACUUCCUUGACUAAACUCCCACAUGGUCAGUUAACAAGGAUGGAGAUGUUUCUCCUCCCUACAAGUCCUACAAAGUUGGAAAUUUGGAAAUUAUUUUGCAGGCUUGGAGGGAGAGUGGUGCUUGGUUUAUUUUAUCGUCACUGGUUGUGAUCUGUGUCCUUGUUCCACUGCAGUGUCAUGAGAUAAUUAAUACUAAAACACCUCUAUUUGUUAGUUUACAUGUUUCUCAUGCCUUUAAAAUCAGUAGAAGAGGGCUGAUGACAUUGCACAGGGGAAAACAAUUUAAUAAAUUCUUCUUGCAUCGGGAAUUACA
rnacentral:lncRNA from 1 species